AUUGAACGCUGGCGGCAGGCCUAACACAUGCAAGUCGAGCGGGGUUUUCGGACCUAGCGGCGGACGGGUGAGUAAUGCGUAGGAAGCUACCCGAUAGAGGGGGAUACCAGUUGGAAACGACGGUUAAUACCGCAUAAUGUCUACGGACCAAAGUGUGGGACCUUCGGGCAACAUGCUAUCGGAUGCGCCUACGUGGGAUUAGCUAAUUGGUGGGGUAAUGGCUCACCAAGGCGACGAUCCCUAGCUGGUUUGAGAGGAUGAUCAGCCACACUGGAACUGAGACACGGUCCAGACUCCUACGGGAGGCAGCAGUGGGGAAUAUUGGACAAUGGGCGCAAGCCUGAUCCAGCCAUGCCGCGUGUGUGAAGAAGGCCUUCGGGUUGUAAAGCACUUUCAGUAGGGAGGAAGGGUUAAGUGUUAAUAGUACUUAACUUUGACGUUACCUACAGAAGAAGCACCGGCUAACUCUGUGCCAGCCGCCGCCGUAAAAC
rnacentral:rRNA from 1 species